GGUGUCCAAACAAUCCCAUUCUCGUUUAUCCAAUGACAGACUUCAAUUAGGCCGGGGCCAAAACCUAACAGCUUAAAAGCACGUUGAUUUGGAUUCCAAGAUGAUGUGUCAUAAUGGCAUGCCAUGAUUGCAUGAUUCACUUUCUUCUGAGAAGGUAUAUCAACUUCAUAUACUUUUACUUUUUGUAUCACAUGACAAUAAUAGACUUGAAAUAAGAAUGGCAUGCUAUGACAUAAAGCUGGUGCAAGGAGGUUCCCAUGGAC